rnacentral:rRNA from 1 species
GCAAGUCGAACGAGAAAGCACCUUCGGGUGUGAGUAAAGUGGCGGACGGGUGAGUAACGCGUAGGAAUCUACCCAGUAGCGGGGGACAACUCCGGGAAACCGGUGCUAAUACCGCAUACGCUCUUUCUUUUGGUUAAGAGGGAGAAAAGAGGGCCUCUAUUUAUAAGCUCUCACUAUUGGAGGAGCCUGCGUUGGAUUAGCUAGUUGGUAGGGUAAAGGCCUACCAAGGCUACGAUCUAUAGCUGGUCUGAGAGGACGAUC